CUGUGAAGAUUAUAAACAUACGAACUUUACUUCGUGUUUGGGUGGUGUUUUCGAUGUGUCACAAAAUAGUUUUUUAAUUUUUCUUGAUGGGGCAGUCUAAUAGCACCGACAGCGUUAUUCCACAGACGGUGGAAAACCUUCAUGACGACAUUUGCCGACAAGCAAGAUUACUUUCUGAAAUUGCUGCGCUUUCAUACGAUGAUCUGCAAGAGUGCAUUAAGCAACUGAAUCAGCUAUGCAGUCACUGUGCUGAUAGAAAUGGCAAACAGUUAUUCUUUCUUGUAAAGAAAGGGACUGACUCAACAUUAUUAUGGAAGGGAACUGUUAAAAUAUUGUGUGUAAAAUUUGACCCUUCUACAAAACAAAUCGAAGGGCAUAGGCUCUUCAGCCUCGGUGACUUUUUGAAAGUUUGCCGGUCUCUACAGAGUCAACUGCUAGUAGCAGAGCAAAGCAGUGAUUGUGCAACCAACCAGCCAGUGACUGGAAUGGAAGUUAACAACAGCCAGCAUAAUGGCAGUACCUCUAAUACCUUUGAAAGCCCAGCAUUAAUGUCAGAGUCACAUAGUUUGCCUACUCAGAGGUUAAUUAACACAUCCAUGAUACUGGAGGAGAGAGCCACACUUACAAGUGGUGCUAAUGAUUGCUGCAUUUGUUUGGAGAGAAAACCAGAUAUAGUUUUGCCAUGCACUCACAGCUACUGUGUUGUUUGUAUAGAACAGUGGAAUGUAAAUCACAAGACAUGUCCCAUAUGUCGUGAAGCAUGUGAAAGUACUGAUGACAGCUGGGUUAUUUCUGAAGUACCAGGAGCCCAUGAAAUAAAUGAAGCAAUAUGUUCAGCUCUCAUGGGAUUGCCCUCAACAUCAGGCACUCCAAAGUGAUGCCUCUGACUGUCCAGCACUAUCAUGUCAUAGUUAUGAAAUAAAAUGCAGACAGAAUACACCUGCACAUCUGUUACACGUUUUAUGUGUAAGGAUGAUAAAUAUGGUUUCAUGACCAUGGAUGGUAUGGCCAGCUAGUAGAAAUGGAAUAAUUUUUACAGAUCCAAAUGGAGGACUGUUUUAACCCCGGAUAAAUUUGUUUUGAGACAUAAUGUAAACUGCCUCUGUCUGCUUUAGCCAGCAGAUGCACAUUGUAUAAUGCAAAAUUGUCUGUAGAUGACGAUCAAGAUUCCAGACAAAAUAAUUAAAAAAAAAAAAAACACAGGAAUUCUACAAGUAUUGAAUAUGAUAAAAUAAGUAAAAGCAGCAAGCUAAUGUACUCUUUAACCUUGUCUAUGUUUAAAGCGUAUAUUUAAGAGACUAUGGGGAUUGAAUAAGAAACAGAAUGAACAUGAAUUUGCACCAGAUAAGAGUGUAGAAUACUUUUCAAGUAAUAGUUUAGAUUGUUUCAAGGUUACUGACAAUAAUGAAGAAGUGAAUAUGUAGCUGCUAAAUGUGAAUCUUUCUUCAGGAAUAAUUCUUGCCAUAUGAAGCAAUUCUGUGCUGAUGUACAUCAUAUGUUAUUACAUCCCCAUCUCCUGAAGUAUGGGUCCCAAUUUCAGAUUUUUUAUGGUAUUUGUGUGCAUAUUGUGAAAUUGAACAUACAUGUGUUGUCUCACCAGCUAUGUCACAUUGUGUGACCAUUCUGUUCCUGCAUGAUAUAUAGCAUACCAUUAAAAGUACAACUUGUACAUCUUGCAGCACAUAGCAAAUGUUAACCCAUUUGCGCCAAAUCUUCAUUCAAUAGCAAUAAAUUAAGACAUGUAAUUUGGCACAUUACUGAACUACAGAUAGUAAAUCCUGAAUGAGAUGCUGUCAGCCGGCCGGAGUGGCCGAGCGGUUAAAGGCGCUACAGUCUGGAACCGCACGACCGCUACGGUCGCAGGUUCGAAUCCUGCCUCGGGCAUGGAUGUGUGUGAUGUCCUUAGGUUAGUUAGGUUUAAGUAGUUCUAAGUUCUAGGGGACUGAUGACCACAGCAGUUAAGUCCCAUAGUGCUCAGAGCCAUUUUGAGAUGCUGUCAUGUUUGGUCAAGGUGCCUUUUCUGUAAUGUCCUCCAAUGUAUUACUGUGAUUAAUUCUUGAUACUUUAAUUAACUGUGUAUGUGUUUCUUUUUACACAAAGCAAAUUAUGUAAAUAAUAAAGUAAAUGGGAUA